AGAGUUUGAUCAUGGCUCAGAUUGAACGCUGGCGGCAGGCCUAACACAUGCAAGUCGAGCGGUAGCACAGAGAGCUUGCUCUCGGGUGACGAGCGGCGGACGGGUGAGUAAUGUCUGGGAAACUGCCUGAUGGAGGGGGAUAACUACUGGAAACGGUAGCUAAUACCGCAUAACGUCGCAAGACCAAAGUGGGGGACCUUCGGGCCUCAUGCCAUCAGAUGUGCCCAGAUGGGAUUAGCUAGUAGGUGGGGUAACGGCUCACCUAGGCGACGAUCCCUAGCUGGUCUGAGAGGAUGACCAGCCACACUGGAACUGAGACACGGUCCAGACUCCUACGGGAGGCAGCAGUGGGGAAUAUUGCACAAUGGGCGCAAGCCUGAUGCAGCCAUGCCGCGUGUGUGAAGAAGGCCUUCGGGUUGUAAAGCACUUUCAGCGGGGAGGAAGGCGAUAAGGUUAAUAACCUUGUCGAUUGACGUUACCCGCAGAAGAAGCACCGGCUAACUCCGUGCCAGCAGCCGCGGUAAUACGGAGGGUGCAAGCGUUAAUCGGAAUUACUGGGCGUAAAGCGCACGCAGGCGGUCUGUCAAGUCGGAUGUGAAAUCCCCGGGCUCAACCUGGGAACUGCAUUCGAAACUGGCAGGCUAGAGUCUUGUAGAGGGGGGUAGAAUUCCAGGUGUAGCGGUGAAAUGCGUAGAGAUCUGGAGGAAUACCGGUGGCGAAGGCGGCCCCCUGGACAAAGACUGACGCUCAGGUGCGAAAGCGUGGGGAGCAAACAGGAUUAGAUACCCUGGUAGUCCACGCCGUAAACGAUGUCGAUUUGGAGGUUGUGCCCUUGAGGCGUGGCUUCCGGAGCUAACGCGUUAAAUCGACCGCCUGGGGAGUACGGCCGCAAGGUUAAAACUCAAAUGAAUUGACGGGGGCCCGCACAAGCGGUGGAGCAUGUGGUUUAAUUCGAUGCAACGCGAAGAACCUUACCUGGUCUUGACAUCCACAGAACUUUCCAGAGAUGGAUUGGUGCCUUCGGGAACUGUGAGACAGGUGCUGCAUGGCUGUCGUCAGCUCGUGUUGUGAAAUGUUGGGUUAAGUCCCGCAACGAGCGCAACCCUUAUCCUUUGUUGCCAGCGGUCCGGCCGGGAACUCAAAGGAGACUGCCAGUGAUAAACUGGAGGAAGGUGGGGAUGACGUCAAGUCAUCAUGGCCCUUACGACCAGGGCUACACACGUGCUACAAUGGCAUAUACAAAGAGAAGCGACCUCGCGAGAGCAAGCGGACCUCAUAAAGUAUGUCGUAGUCCGGAUUGGAGUCUGC
rnacentral:rRNA from 1 species